AUGUAUGGCAUGAGCUUGUUCUUAAAUCAGAUUAUAUAUUAUCCAUUUUUCCUUAUAUUUUUGGGAAAAUUUGUGGUCCACGUAAUAACUAUGAAGAAUCAUAUUAUGAUUUUACUUCUUUUGUUCACUGCUUUAAAAGCCAGUGUUUAUCCCAUGCCACAGUAUAUGGCCUUUAUGAGUUAUACCUCUGAGAAACUUUACAAUUUUGUUCCAAGUUUGCAUCUCGGCCAUGUUCAUUUGGACAAUUCUUACAUGUUCCAUAAUUACUAUGAAGUUUGCAUUAUAGAAUAUAGACAUUCUAGGAUAUUUGACUCUUUUUUUACUAUGCACUAG
rnacentral:rRNA from 1 species